GGACUGCAAUCAGAAACGAAAAACAAACAACAACAAAAAUAAAAAAAAGUCCGAAGAGGCACUUCGCGGACCGGUGACGGGAUUCCGCGACUUGGGCGCGCGAGGGAGCGCAGGAGCACACUGGAAAGCUGGGAGCGUGUUUGGCAGGCUUGCGGUGGAGCCUCUUUCGCGCUCUAGUCAGGAGGCCCUCGCGGUAAAAAAAAAAGAAAGAAAGAAAAAAAAAAAGGUUUUUUCUUUCCCCUUUUUCCCCCCCUCGCACUCUCUAAACUAGUCUCCAGCGGGUCUCCACCUUGCGAAGACGGCGGAGCUCGGGCAACCCGUACAGAAAGCGAAAGAACGGUGGAGAGGGAAAGAGAGAUAUGAAACUGAAGACGUAGAGGGGUGAAACUCCUCAUCAGACGUCCCACAUGGCCUUGCACUUGAGAGAGAGAGAGAGAGAGAGAGAGAGAGAGAGAGAGAGAGAGAGAAAGAAAGAGAGAGAGAGAGAGAGAGAGAGAGAAGUGGGAGGGCAGAAAAACUGCAAGUACGGAGCAGGAGGAGAAAGACGGAGAGAGAAAGAGAGAGAGUGUGUGACAUAGAUACUCCUCCCCCAGCGCGCAGACUCAGUGUGUUUUCUCACACACACACACACACACACACACACACACACACACACACACAAUCCAAGCAGAAAGCAAUGAGAAAUGAGUGGAAACACAGCAGAAGGACGCAACUUUCUGCAGAAAAAGUAUCUGAAAAGUAGCUUCAGGUGGAUUUAUUUUCAAUUCUUCUUUUUCGUCGUGCAUUCGCUUUAACGGAUUGCGUCAAACGGCAUUCCCGAAACCCCGAACGCCGCAGGUUUUUUUUACUCUCGAACACAAAGUAGACCUCUCCGAACGAUCUUAAAAGGGCCGGUAACGCCCCAAGUAAGCAAACCGAUGACAAAAUGGUUGCCGGUUCACACGUGUUCGGACUCAACCUGCUAAUUUCGAAUUGAUGUGAAAAAAGGGGGAUUUUAGGGAUUAACAAUUUAACAUCUUAAAACUUUGGUGUCUUGCUCGAUAAGCGUGAUGUGACUUCUGACGGCUUGGAAUAUAGCGCAUUGCAUGGCCCACCGUUAUGAUACUAUAGGAAUGAUGUACAGAAAAGAGAUGAAUAAAACAACAUGCAAAUUGCCAAAUAAAAUAUCCAACUAAUUUAAUUUAUGCAGUGUUUCAUGCAUCUGAACACUAAUAAAAUACUAUUUUCCAAAUCGGAAACGGGUGCGUUCUGCCAACAAAUUAUAUUUACUUUAAUUUAACGUUAACUUAAAUUCAAAAGCCAUAUAUCAUCUUUACUGACCGAGCUUAUUAGGGGAAAAUGGUUUGUCGUACGCCGCGACUGAUUAAAAAGCUGUUGUCGUUUUCGCACAAAAAUGAUUUUCGCAUUAAAAAUACCGAAAUGGUCGCUUUUUGUUUAGAUCGAAGUCUUAUAAAUGCAUUACCACAGACGAUAGUCUAAACUAAUACAUUUCUCAUACCUUCUCAAAAAUGACAGUAUUGGUUAAUAAAAAUCAACCCCUGGUUCAUAAAAGUGCCUGUGCUUAAAGAAGCACCCACGUCCAGCCAAUCAGAGUCUCCGCUCUGGAUUUAAGGAACAGCUCCGACCUUCCAGCCAACGAGAAAGCAGGAUAGAGGACAGGCUCCGCCCCCCGCGACACAGCUCUCCUCACGUGCCCUUUCUCUCUCUCUCUCUCUCUUUCCCUCUACCCCUCGUUCAUCCGUCCAUCUGCCCCGUUCCCUUAAAUCCCUCCCUUGCGGUGACAGAACGAGGCUGGGAAAGAAAACGGCAAAAACAUUCGCCGCUCCUUCACACACACACACACACACACACACGCCCUCACCGCGCAGCAAGGGAAGUGCGGCGAUGCCGUUUCCCUCCAUUUCUUCCCAGCGUCCGACACCGCGACAGGUUCUAUUGUAACGAAUCAAAAGGAAAACGGCACGGCGAAAACGGUUCUGUUUGCUCUGGCCCUCGCUCCAGAAAGCCCUCGAGGCCGGACUCGCUGUACAAACUUUUUUUUUCCCUCCGAAUGCAGCUCUCUCUCUCUCUCUCUCUCUCUCUCUCUCUCUCUCUCUCUCCCUCGCUCUUCCUCUCGGCGGCUCGGACUAAUGAGAGUGCAGAAAGAGAGAAAGCCUGCGAACUGCGAAAAUCUCUUUCCAGCUCUUGCGGACUUGCUCAACGCUCCUCUUCGCGGUCUCUCUGGGGACUGUGGGAAAACUUGUGACAUUUCCCGAAGGUGGGGCUGCCUUCCUAACCUUCUCUCCGUGUCUAAAAGCCGCGAUCGGGGCUGAUCUGACAUGGCCGAUGCGCGAGGGCGCACCCGUCUCCUUCCGUCUGUCCUCGCGCGCCAAGCAGAACCGCAGAGUUAGUGCGUUCGGGGUGAAAAAGCUCGUGCGGCCUGUUGGACAUCAUCUACGGCGUUAGGUAGGGACCCCGCCGUUUUCCUCCCACGUCACAUCUCGCCACGGCUUCCGACCAAUCGGCGGCGUCGCUGAUAAAACCGGCACGCGCUUAUAUUUCAUUUCGAACUUCAGGAAGCCCAUUGCGUCCCCAAAGAGCGAGCGAGCGAGCAGCACAGCAGCAGCUUUAUCUUUUGUUAUUUACCCGGAGCGUCUCUCCGUUCAUUAGGUUUGUUUGCAGCCUCCGUCCAAGGACAAGCGUUUGCUUGCAGGUUUAGACGGCCAACUAUUGAAGACCCGAACUUCAGCGGCCGCUUUGUGUCUAAACGCGACAAAACAGAGCAGCGCAUUUCAGACGCGUCGUGAAUCCCAAUAGCUGCGCGUUCGUUCGCAAUCACAACGAUGCUACGAUUGCCACAUUCAGUGAGCGAUAACAGAUCGCUGAAAACGUAAUGCUAAUAUUAAUACGUCGCAAAUACACUUCACCUCUCUAAGGCCGAGCACGUCACAAAAUGGCGGCUGCCACCAUCUCGUAGACGUCGACCGUUUUAGAUCAUUUCUGCAAAAAACACAAUAAAGGUUGCAUUGUAAAAAUGUAUUUAUUCAUUUUUUUCUGCAUUUCAAACUAGUUUAACCGCUACUCUUGCUGCAAAGCACUUACAGAGGAAAAAAAAUAUAUAUUUUGGUGUUUUUCUCAUUUCGUUUUGUGCAACUGUCGUUCUUUUCGAUAAUGCAAUAAACAAUUGCAUUAAGAUUAAAAUGGAAACGCAUAGCCGUUGCGUUCAAAUUGAAAACAAAAUCGAAUGCAUUUAAAUACAAACGCAUGCAUCUGAAAAGUGAAACGCAUUGCAGUUGCAACAAACGAUAAAAUGCUUGACAGAUGCAUUAAAAUGUAUCCGUUGCCUUAAAUGCAUUUGUAUUUAUUUGAAUGCACUGCAACUUUUUCCCCCUCGAGUAAGGGAAGCUGCAUCUGAAUGUUUCCUCAGAAGAAUCAGACUUUAACUGGAUGCCGAAAAUAUAAUAAUUUUCCGACCAGCACAGAUAUUUAUCUGUACAUUGGAGUCAGCGCUGUAUUCUUUGAUGUGGUGACGCAAGGAUAAGUCGUCCGUACGAGGCCAGAAAGCACGAGGUGGUGCGACAAUCCUCGCCAGAUUCACACACACACACACACACACACACACACACACACACACACACACACACACACACACACAUAACAGGAAACGCCGGACAAACGAAAGCCAACAAGAACACGGCCAAGAGACGUCUGGAAAAAUGGAUCCUAGGAGCUUUGAGAACAAAAAAACGUCACCGGCGAGUCGGCUUUCAAUGACACGCGGAUAUAAAAAUAAAAAAGAAACAUAAAUGGACAUUUUCGAAUGGCUGGUGCGCUGAGAACGGCGGCGUGUAAACUCACCGGACCUGCGCCGCUCCGUCCAGCUCUCCUCUGGACUCCGACUGAAGCCGCGUCCUUCUGUUCGGGCCGCUCUUCAUCCGAAGCUGGCACGGGACGUGACCUGGCACGCGGCGGGCCGAACUAAAAAGGAGAGAGAGCAAGAGAGAGAGAGAGAGAAAGCCACCGGUCAGAGGAGAAAAAACGCUGAAACGAACCAGGUGCGAAGCGAAAACUCUGGGGAUCCCGCAGGAGGCAGCGAUAAAGAGCGGCGUUAAAUGCGCUCGGGUAGGGACCGGGACGCUGCCCGCUUCACAGCCGUUAAAACACACUUCUGAGGAGUCUAAAACCCCACAAAUGUGACCCCGAAGCGCACGAGCGGCGAUUUGGUGCAACAGGCAAAAAUACACAGCGUGGGCCUGGAUAAUGAAGAUAUUAGGAAAAGAUCACGUGCCAUGCAGCUCAAUAUCGUCCUCUCCUAACUCCGCACGUCAACGGAAAAAAUGAUUUUGCAGCUUCCAGGUUCGAAAAACUGACACUUCGUGGACCGAACUGGCAAACAUUCAGCAUUGCAAAAUUAUAAGUGAACGUCUAUAGCAUUUUUGCCAUCUUGUAGAUUUUAUAUUUUGUAUAUAAUUCCGUUUUGUUAUGCGUCUUGUCGUCCUGUCGCAAAACGAAGUCCUCGUACGUGUAAGCAUACAGAGUUGAUUCUGAUUCUGAAAUGUUAUUCAUAAAUGAUCUUUUUUUUGGGGGGGGUUGCGUGAACUUCAACCGAACCUUUUUUUGAUCGCAAUGCAAUUUUAAAUCGUCUAGAAACGUUUCCUUCUGUUAACCUUUCCCUUUCUUCAAAAGGCUUUUUCCGGCCGAUACGAACAUUCCAUUCCAAACAUUGCCGGAACGUUACUUUUGAGUGAAAUCAGCAACAUUUUAAAAAAAAAAACAUCAGUUGAACGUGAACCUUUUUAUCUCGUCGUUGGUUCAUAACUCGCCAGAACAUUAUAUAUAUAUAUAUAUAUAUAUAUAUAUAUAUAUAUAUAUAUAUAUAUAUAUUUUUUUUUUUAUGCAUUAACAUCUACAUCGUCUGUAAUAAUUUUCAAAUGCAUCUGAAGUGGUUGAACUCUCAUUCACAAUUAAAAUCCAAUCAAAUAAGUUGCUUUGGAUGAACAUGAUUGUAAAUAACGCAGCGUCGUGGCUGGACGCUUAGAAACUGUUGCUAGGAUCUCUUCUUUUUUUACUACAGCUUGACUUUUCUUCAUCAUGUCUGGAAUCUGCUGGUGAUUUUUAGCGGCUGUGUAAAAGUAUAAACCACUACCGUCUCUGGAGGCCCGGCGUUGUCCAGUUCGCUGCUUUCUGUCCGUUCUGCAUCUGUCCCACACCUGCAACUCUGAUAACACCAAGAGAAGCAGAGGAACCACAAGUGUGUGUGUGUGUGUGUGUGUGUGUGUGUGUGUGUGUUUGUGAGCAAUCUGAGCCCUAUAUUAUAUUAGUGCUGUCAGACAAUACUGUUUUAUG